rnacentral:snRNA from 1 species
GUGCUCCGUUCGGCAGCAUGAAUAUUAAAAUUUGAAUAAUACAGAGAAGAUUUGGUAUGGCCCCCGUGUAAGAAUGACAUGUAAAUUUAUGAAGUGUUCCAUAUCUUG